GAUGAAGAACGUAGCGAAAUGCGAUAAGUAGUGUGAAUUGCAAAAUUCAGUGAAUCAUCGAAUCUUUGAACGCACAUUGCGCCCCUUGGUAUCCCGAGGGGCAUGCCUGUUCGAGCGUCAUUUCACCACUCAAGCCUGGCUUGGUGUUGGGCGACGUCCCCUUUGGGGACGCGCCUCGAAACGCUCGGCGGCGUGGCACCGGCUUUAAGCGUAGCAGAAUCUUUCGCUUUGGAAGUCGGGGCCCCGUCUGCCGGAAGACCUACUCGCAAGGUUGACCUCGGAUCAGGCAGGGAUACCCGCUGAACUUAAGCAUAUCAAUAAGCGGAGGA
rnacentral:misc_RNA from 1 species